rnacentral:rRNA from 1 species
AUUGAACGCUGGCGGCAUGCUUUACACAUGCAAGUCGAACGGUAACAGGCCUUCGGGUGCUGACGAGUGGCGAACGGGUGAGUAAUGCAUCGGAACGUGCCCAAUCGUGGGGGAUAACGUAGCGAAAGUUACGCUAAUACCGCAUAAGCCCUGAGGGGGAAAGUGGGGGACCGCAAGGCCUCACGCGAAUGGAGCGGCCGAUGUCAGAUUAGCUAGUUGGUGGGGUAAAGGCCCACCAAGGCGACGAUCUGUAGCGGGUCUGAGAGGAUGAUCCGCCACACUGGGACUGAGACACGGUCCAGACUCCUACGGGAGGCAGCAGUGGGGAAUAUUGGACAAUGGGGGCAACCCUGAUCCAGCCAUGCCGCGUGAGUGAUGAAGGCCUUCGGUUGUAAGUACGUCUGUUGAGAGGGAC